rnacentral:lncRNA from 1 species
GGAGCAUGUGUGCUAACUAGAUGGAAACUUAUGUGUCGAUGAAAGACUGAAGCAUAAAUAUUGACAACAUUUAAAAAACAAAAGGCAGCUCCAUUGCAGACCUUCCAUGGAACUAAAAUAUGAAACAUUACACCAUUACGGACCCAAAGCACCAAACUUCCGAGCAGCUACAACCAAGUCCAAAGCAAAGGGCAGGUCCAUACAUUCUACUAUUGCAGCAACAACAUCCCAAAUUAUGGUGCACGGCGAGUUUAAUCCUUCUCCAAGAUACUAGAAACUGAAUGAGAAAAAAAAGACAAUUCUCAUAAGAUGCGGCACUACAAGCUGCAGAAAGCAACAAAAACAUGCAAUGAGAUUAAUGGCCAAAGGAUAUGAACUAACCUAAAGAAUAGUUAUGCCAUGCAACAUCAAGGAGUUCUGAAGGAAAACAACUCAUCAAUGGAAUUUCUUUUUUGGC